rnacentral:ncRNA from 1 species
CAAAGGUAUGGUCCCAGCCUUUCCAUCAGCCACAGCCCAACCUAUACAUGCAAGUCUCCGCGCCCCAGUGAGUACACCCUUUAUCCCUUGCACGGGAACAAGGAGUUGGCAUCAGGCACAAGAGUUAGCCCAAGACGCCUAGUAAAACCACGCCCCCAAGGGGAUCCAGCAGUAAUAAACAUUAAGCUAUGAGUGAAAGCUCGACUCAGUUAUGGCUAUUAGAGCCGGUAAAACUCGUGCCAGCAACCGCGGUUAGACGAGAGGCUCAAGUUGAUGAUAAACGGCGUAAAGGGUGGUUAAGGAAAACUACGUAAUAAAGAUAAACAGUCCUUCGGCUGUCAUACGCCUCUAGAGACUUGAAACCCAUAACACAAAGAUACUUUAAAAUAGACAACCUGACCCCACGAGAGCUAAGAAACAAACUGGGAUUAGAUACCCCACUAUGCUUAGCCGUAAAUCCUGACAUUAAAAUACAACAAUGUCCGCCAGGGUACUACGAGUUAAACUUAAAACCCAAAGGACUUGACGGUGCCUUAGACCCACCUAGAGGAGCCUGUUCUAGAACCGAUAAUCCCCGUUAAACCUCACCAUUUCUAGCCACACCAGCCUAUAUACCACCGUCGUCAGCUUACCCUGUGAAGGAUGAAAAGUAAGCGAGAGGGGCACAGCCCAAAACGCCAGGUCGAGGUGUAGCCCACGAAAUGGAAAGAAAUGGGCUACAUUUUCUAAACCAGAAUAUUACGGACACGCAACAUGAAACAGUUUCAAGAAGGAGGAUUUAGUAGUAAAAAGGAAACAGAGAGUCCUUUUGAACCCGGCUCUGAGGCGCGUACACACCGCCCGUCACUUUCCCCUGUUACACUGCGAUAUCAUAACUAAUAUAAAAGCACCAACAAGAGGAGACAAGUCGUAACAAGGUAAGUAUACCGGAAGGUGUACUUGGACAAACUUA